AUUGAACGCUGGCGGCAUGCCUUACACAUGCAAGUCGAACGGCAGCACGGGUGCUUGCACCUGGUGGCGAGUGGCGAACGGGUGAGUAAUACAUCGGAACAUGUCCUGUAGUGGGGGAUAGCCCGGCGAAAGCCGGAUUAAUACCGCAUACGAUCUACGGAUGAAAGCGGGGGACCUUCGGGCCUCGCGCUAUAGGGUUGGCCGAUGGCUGAUUAGCUAGUUGAUGGGGUAAAGGCCUACCAAGGCGACGAUCAGUAGCUGGUCUGAGAGGACGACCAGCCACACUGGGACUGAGACACGGCCCAGACUCCUACGGGAGGCAGCAGUGGGGAAUUUUGGACAAUGGGCGAAAGCCUGAUCCAGCAAUGCCGCGUGUGUGAAGAAGGCCUUCGGGUUGUAAAGCACUUUUGUCCGGAAAGAAAUCCUUGGCCCUAAUACGGUCGGGGGAUGACGGUACCGGAAGAAUAAGCACCGGCUAACUACGUG
rnacentral:rRNA from 1 species